AGGACGAACGCUGGCGGCGUGCCUAAUACAUGCAAGUCGAACGGUCUUUCUAUGGAAGCUUGCUUCCACUGAGAAGAUAGUGGCGAACGGGUGAGUAACACGUGGGUAACCUGCCCAUAAGAGGGGGGAUAACAUCCGGAAACGGGUGCUAAUACCGCAUAGUUUUCUUGAUCGCAUGAUCGGGAAAGGAAAGACGGCCUUUGUGCUGUCGCUUAUGGAUGGACCCGCGGCGUAUUAGUUAGUUGGUGAGGUAACGGCUCACCAAGACGAUGAUACGUAGCCGACCUGAGGGGUGAUCGGCCACAUUGGGACUGAGACACGGCCCAAACUCCUACGGGAGGCAGCAGUAGGGAAUCUUCCGCAAUGGACGAAAGUCUGACGGAGCAACGCCGCGUGGGUGAAGAAAGGUUUUCGGAUCGUAAAACUCUGUUGUCAGAGAAGAACAAGUUGGAGAGUAACUGCUCCAGCCUUGACGGUAUCUGACCAGAAAGCCACGGCUAACUACGUGCCAGCAGCGGC
rnacentral:rRNA from 1 species